rnacentral:lncRNA from 1 species
AUGGAGAAAACUCCAUCAGUGUGGGUAUGGCACCCUCAGGAUCUAAGCUGUCUAAACUUGCAGGCUGGUUUCACUAGCUUAGGGCAUCCCAGAGCUAAUGUUUAUAAGCCAAGGGCCAAAUUAAAGCAAGAAAGAAUCAUAUCAAUGUCGAGGCUGAGAAAGUUCACGGGGGCAGGAAGGAGGCCCUGGAGAAGGAGGCAAGGAAAGCAAGAGGAAAGGGAUCCAUCUUCUUCUCCCUCCCACUACCAACCCCAACCUGGAGUCCCAGAAACACUAUGCAGAGCCCACCUAGUACCCCUCAAUGUAUGUUCAUCUUCUUUGAUAAUAGAACCUCAAACGUCAGCUGGCUACACGGCUUCAAACAACAAAAGACUACAUUUCCCAGCUUUCCCUGCAGCAAGGACACCUUCUAAGGAAAGGACCAGCACUAUCCUCAUGUUACAGCUGAAGGAACAGAGCCCCUGCAAACGUAACAAGUUUACCCAGUCUUCACAGGUCUGCGUGACUAAUUCCAGCUCCCUGCCCCUGACCACUGCACUCACUGCCCUUCCACUCUUGGGUGUCCAUUGGUAUAGUCUUUAGGGCUCACGAUCCCCCUCAGUCAGGAUUCUCCCAAUUCCCUGACCCCAUAACAGUAGACAGCAAAGACAAGACAGUCUAGGCCUCCCUGCAGGCUCACUCCAGGUAGUGCCCGGGGGCACAGUGGGUGUGUGUGCAGGCUCAGGGGUCUUGCUGCUAGGUGUGCAUCCUGCUCUGACGCUUACCGUCUGUCUGUGUCACUCAGGCAAGUUGCUAUCCUCUCUGAAUUCCAGCUUCCUCAUCUCAAAGUAGGAAAAACACCUCCUUUUCCCUCUAUAGACUUCAGUUCACUUCCCCUCCAACUGCAAAA